rnacentral:rRNA from 1 species
GGGGGGGGGGGGGGGGGGGGGGGGGGGGGGGGGGGGGGGGGGGGGGGGGGGGGGCGGGGGGGGGGGGGGGGGGCGGCGGACGGGGGGGGGACGCGGGGGGGACCUACCUAUGAGACGGGGGUAACUUCGGGAAACCGGCGCUCAUACCGGAUCAUCUUUUGAACCGCAGGGUUCAAAAGGGAAAGACGGUCGUGCUGUACCUUAUCGAUGGAUCCGCGCUGCAUUAGCUAGUUGGUAAGGUAACGGCUUACCAAGGCAACGAUGCAUAGCCGACCUGAGAGGGUGGUCGGCCACACUGGAACUGAGACACGGUCCAGACUCCUACGGGAGGCAGCAGUAGGGAAUCUUCCGCAAUGGGCGAAAGCCUGACGGAGCAACGCCGCGUGAGUGAUGAAGGUCUUCGGAUCGUAAAACUCUGUUAUUAGGGAAGAACAUAUGUGUAAGUAACUGUGCACAUCUUGACGGUACCUAAUCAGAAAGCCACGGCUAACUACGUG